rnacentral:rRNA from 1 species
UACGUAGGGGGCGAGCGUUGUCCGGAAUUAUUGGGCGUAAAGAGCGUGUAGGCUGUUCGGUAAGUCUGCCGUGAAAACCUGAGGCUCAACCUCGGGCGUGCGGUGGAUACUGCCGGGCUAGAGGACGGUAGAGGCGAGUGGAAUUCCCGGUGUAGCGGUGAAAUGCGCAGAUAUCGGGAGGAACACCAGCGGCGAAGGCGGCACUCUGGGCUGGAACUGACGCUGAGGAGCGAAAGCGUGGGUAGCAAACAGG